CAAUUUAAAGCUUAUAUAGUAAAGCAUUUCGUUUACACUGAAAAGAUUAUUGUGCAAAUCAAUAUGGGUUGA
rnacentral:tRNA from 1 species